rnacentral:pre_miRNA from 1 species
GUCUUACCAGACACGGUUAGACCUGGCUCUCUGUCUAAUACUGUCUGGUAAAACCGU